UACGGAGGGAGCAAGCGUUACUCGGAAUUAUUGGGCGUAAAGGGCGCGUAGGCGAUUUGAAAAGUCUUGUGUGAAAGCCCCGAGCUUAACUCGGGAAGUGCACAAGAAACUGAUGAAUUUGAGUUCCGGAGAGGGAGGCAGAAUUCCCGGUGUAGCGGUGAAACGCGUAGAUAUCGGGAGGAAUACCGAUGGCGAAGGCAGGUCUCUGGGCUGACACUGACGCUCAUGCACGAAAGCGUGGGGAGCAAACAGG
rnacentral:rRNA from 1 species